rnacentral:rRNA from 1 species
AAACCUGAGAAACCCGAAAGAUCGAAUGGGGAGAUUCAUCGUCAGCGAUACUGGUACGCGUGCGGUUCGCGAUGUGCGGUUGACCUCGGUCUCCUGGCACGCGUCCGCGUGUGAUUUAUUGCCGGAAUCGUCGGCGUGCACUUCUCCUCUAGUAGGACGUCGCGACCCGUUGGGUGUCGGUCUACGGCACGGGUAGGUAGCCUGUCACGUGGUUCGCUUCACGGCGUGAUGCGGGGCAGACCUCCGUUCUCGCCCGACCGGCUGCCCGGCGGUACUCGCAAGAUAUCUGGCCGCAGACAUACGAACUGCGUCCGGCCCGUCGCAAGCGCGGCAAGUGUCUCCCCGGCUGUACGGAUCCAAUGCCGUCACCGGGCCUUGCCAGCUGUUGGUUGACGGUGUCCUUGGACUGGCUAACAGAUAUCGGUCGGCGACGCUACUGCUUUGGGUACUUUCAGGACCCGUCUUGAAACACGGACCAAGGAGUCUAACAUGUGCGCGAGUCAUUGGGAACUCUUAAGCCUAAAGGCGCAAUGAAAGUGAAGAUCGGCCUUGCGCCGAUCGAGGGAGGAUGGGCCGCGUCACGAUGCGGUCCCGCACUCCCGGGGCGUCUCGUUCUCAU